rfam:Saccharomyces cerevisiae Lalvin QA23 chromosome XIV QA23_c14_71, whole genome shotgun sequence.
CAAWAUAAUGAUAACGAGAAUAAUAUCAAGAAUACCUUAGAACAACAUCGACAACAACAACAGGCAUUUUCGGAUAUGAGUCACGUGGAGUAUUCCAGAAUUACA